rnacentral:rRNA from 1 species
GAUGAACGCUGACAGAAUGCUUAACACAUGCAAGUCGAUGGGGAAGUGGUGCUUGCACCAUGGCAACCAUGGCGGACGGGUGAGUAACGCGUAAGGGACUUACCUGCAGGACUGGGAUAACAGGGGGAAACUCCUGACAAGACCGGAUAAUGUCAUGGAGCUGCAUGGCUUUAUGAUGAAAGGAGACGCCUGCGGAGAGCCUUGCGUCCUAUUAGCUAGUUGGUGAGGUAAUGGCUCACCAAGGCGAAGAUAGGUAGCCGGCCUGAGAGGGUGGACGGCCACAAGGGGACUGAGAUACGGCCCUUACUCCUACGGGAGGCAGCAGUGGGGAAUAUUGGACAAUGGGGGCAACCCUGAUCCAGCAAUUCUGUGUGCACGAAGAAGGUUUUCGGAUAGUAAAGUGCUUUCAGCAGGGAAGAAGUAAGUGACGGUACCUGCAGAAGAAGCGACGGCUAAAUACGUG